rnacentral:rRNA from 1 species
UCCGAACUGAGACCGGCUUUUUGGGAUUCGCUCCACCUUACGGUAUCGCAGCCCUCUGUACCGGCCAUUGUAGCAUGCGUGAAGCCCAAGACAUAAGGGGCAUGAUGAUUUGACGUCAUCCCCACCUUCCUCCGAGUUGACCCCGGCAGUCUCCCAUGAGUCCCCGGCAUAACCCGCUGGCAACAUAGGACGAGGGUUGCGCUCGUUGCGGGACUUAACCCAACAUCUCACGACACGAGCUGACGACAACCAUGCACCACCUGUGUACGAGUGUCCAAAGAGAACCCCGUCUCGGGGGCUUUCUCGUACAUGUCAAGCCUUGGUAAGGUUCUUCGCGUUGCAUCGAAUUAAUCCGCAUGCUCCGCCGCUUGUGCGGGCCCCCGUCAAUUCCUUUGAGUUUUAGCCUUGCGGCCGUACUCCCCAGGCGGGGCACUUAAUGCGUUAGCUGCGGCACGGAACUCGUGGAAUGAGCCCCACACCUAGUGCCCAACGUUUACGGCAUGGACUACCAGGGUAUCUAAUCCUGUUCGCUCCCCAUGCUUUCGCUCCUCAGCGUCAGUUGCGGCCCAGAGACCUGCCUUCGCCAUCGGUGUUCCUCCUGAUAUCUGCGCAUUCCGCCGCUACACCAGGAAUUCCAGUCUCCCCUACCGCACUCUAGUCUGCCCGUACCCGAUGCAAGCCCGAGGUUGAGCCUCGGGAUUUCACACCAGACGCGACAGACCGCCUACGAGCUCUUUACGCCCAAUAAUUCCGGACAACGCUUGCGCCCUACGUAUUACCGCGGCUGCUGGCACGUAGUUAGCCGGCGCUUCUUCUGCAGGUACCGUCACUUGCGCUUCUUCCCUGCUGAAAGAGGUUUACAACCCGAAGGCCGUCAUCCCUCACGCGGCGUCGCUGCAUCAGGCUUGCGCCCAUUGUGCAAUAUUCCCCACUGCUGCCUCCCGUAGGAGUCUGGGCCGUGUCUCAGUCCCAGUGUGGCCGGUCGCCCUCUCAGGCCGGCUACCCGUCGACGCCUUGGUAGGCCAUCACCCCACCAACAAGCUGAUAGGCCGCGAGCCCAUCCCCCACCGAAAAACUUUCCAACCCACACCAUGCGAUGCGAGCUCAUAUCCGGUAUUAGACCCCGUUUCCAAGGCUUAUCCCGAAGUGGAGGGCAGGUUGCUCACGUGUUACUCACCCGUUCGCCACUGAUCCACCCAGCAAGCUGGGCUUCAC